rnacentral:rRNA from 1 species
AGUGAACGCUGGCGGUAGGCCUAACACAUGCAAGUCGAACGGCAGCACAGUAAGAGCUUGCUCUUACGGGUGGCGAGUGGCGGACGGGUGAGGGAUACAUCGGAAUCUACUUUUUCGUGGGGGAUAACGUAGGGAAACUUACGCUAAUACCGCAUACGACCUACGGGUGAAAGCAGGGGAUCUUCGGACCUUGCGCGAUUGAAUGAGCCGAUGUCGGAUUAGCUAGUUGGCGGGGUAAAGGCCCACCAAGGCGACGAUCCGUAGCUGGUCUGAGAGGAUGAUCAGCCACACUGGAACUGAGACACGGCCCAGACUCCUACGGGAGGCAGCAGUGGGGAAUAUUGGACAAUGGGCGCAAGCCUGAUCCAGCCAUACCGCGUGGGUGAAGAAGGCCUUCGGGUUGUAAAGCCCUUUUGUUGGGAAAGAAAAGCAGCAGGUUAAUACCCCGCUGUUCUGACGGUACCCAAAGAAUAAGCACCGGCUAACUUCGUG